UAGAGCCUCUGGGAAACUCUCAAAUUUGCACAUUCCACGCCCUGGGAUCAGCUGAUCCCUUCUCACGAGGUGCACACACACACAGAUAUACAUUAUAAUCUGCCUGCAGCCUCUCUCUCUCGCUCUGCCUCCCUGUCUCUGUCAGUAUCUCUGUGUGUACAGAGUCACAGCAGAUCCAGCGAUAUCACCAGCAUCAGGUUCCGGUAUCGAUACCCACGACCUCCUGCGCACCAGGCGAGGUAGUCAACAUCGACUGAUAACCCCCUGAGGCUCCGCCCCCCUCUCCGUGGCCCCGCCCAUCGCAACGCCCCGCCCCCCUCAGCUUUACGAUGGGGGGAGGAGACAAAGACCAUCAGCCAAUCGCGUCGCUCGGAUCCCCAGGGGGGCGUGGCGGUCCUUCCUAUGAGGAGGGGCUUAGGGCCGGUAUCUCCAUCCUGGGUCUGCUCCUCGCCCUCUCGCUGGGACUUAUCUUGUGCUGCUUCUUGAGGACGAGGAAGAGAUGGUGGAGGAGGUCGUGGGUGGGUGGAUACUCUGAGCUGAUGGAGCAGCACCAGCUGAUGGGCGGCGUUCCUCCUGUAGACCAAUCAGAGGCGGGGGGGCGUGGCAUCGUGCCUACAGCCCCCGUCCACAAGGGGCGUGGCUUCGAGGUGACCAAUGAG